GUAGCUCAGUUGGUUAGAACAUGGUGCUGAAAAUGCCAAUGUUGUGGGUUUGAUCACCAUAUGACCA